rnacentral:rRNA from 1 species
UGGGGGAUUUUGCACAAUGGGCGCAAGCCUGAUGCAGCGACGCCGCGUGAGGGAUGAAGGCCUUCGGGUUGUAAACCUCUUUCGCUGGGUUGAAAGGCCAUGCUUUGGGUGUGGUUGAUUUGAACUGGUAAAGAAGUACCGGCUAACUACGUGCCAGCAGCCGCGGUAAUACGUAGGGUACUAGCGUUGUCCGGAUUUAUUGGGCGUAAAGGGCUUGUAGGUGGUUUGUCGCGUCUGUCGUGAAAUCCUGUGGCUUAACCAUGGGCUUGCGGUGGGUACGGGCAGGCUUGAGUGCGGUAGGGGAGACUGGAAUUCCUGGUGUGGCGGUGGAAUGCGCAGAUAUCAAGAGGAACACCGGUGGCGAAGGCGGGUCUCUGGGCCGUUACUGACACUGAGGGGCGAAAGCGUGGGGAACGAACAGG